UACGGGGGGGGCAAGCGUUGUUCGGAAUUACUGGGCGUAAAGGGUUCGUAGGUGGCCAACUAAGUCAGACGUGAAAUCCCUCAGCUUAACUGGGGAACUGCGUCUGAGACUGGAUGGCUUGAGUGCAGGAGAGGAACGCGGAAUUCCAGGUGUAGCGGUGAAAUGCGUAGAUAUCUGGAGGAACACCGGUGGCGAAGGCGGCAUCCUGGACCAAUUCUGACGCUGAGGAGCGAAGGCCAGGGGAGCAAACGGG
rnacentral:rRNA from 1 species